AUGCCGUCGUUCCUUCCGUACGUCAUCGUUCGUUUUGACUCAUCAUCAGCUUCUCUUUUCGCUUCUGAUUCUCCAGAUCGAAGCACCGCGGUGGUCACCUCGUUUGAUCUACUUCAGUCGACAUCACCAAUAAAACGUCACCGUUUGCUUCUCUCUCCUCUCCGUCCGUCGUCAUCGAUUCAUCUCCUUCGUAUUUCACCUCAACUUCACCGUAUAAUAGCUAUGUUUCUCUCUUCGUAA